UUGUUGGGCGGCGAGUGGCGGACGGGUGAGUAAUGCUUGGGAAUAUGCCUUAUGGUGGGGGUCAACAGUUGGAAACGACUGCUAAUACCGCAUGAUGUCUACGGACCAAAGUGGGGGACCUUCGGGCCUCACGCCAUAAGAUUAGCCCAAGUGGGAUUAGCUAGUUGGUGAGGUAAUGGCUCACCAAGGCGACGAUCCCUAGCUGGUUUGAGAGGAUGAUCAGCCACACUGGGACUGAGACACGGCCCAGACUCCUACGGGAGGCAGCAGUGGGGAAUAUUGCACAAUGGGCGCAAGCCUGAUGCAGCCAUGCCGCGUGUGUGAAGAAGGCCUUCGGGUUGUAAAGCACUUUCAGUAAGGAGGAAAGGUUAAGUGUUAAUAGCACUUAUCUGUGAUGUUACUUACAGAAGAAGCACCGGCUAACUCCGUGCCAGCAGCCGCGGUAAUACGGAGGGUGCGAGCGUUAAUCGGAAUUACUGGGCGUAAAGCGUACGCAGGCGGUCUGUUAAGCGAGAUGUGAAAGCCCCGGGCUCAACCUGGGGAACUGCAUUUCGAACUGGCAAACUAGAGUGUGAUAGAGGG
rnacentral:rRNA from 1 species